ensembl:lncRNA
AUGGAAGGAUGGGAACAGGGUCAGGUAGCUGACGAGGCACAGAUGAAGGGACACAUGCUCUCUUCGCAGAGAGCCUGCCAGAGACAGAACUCGGAGAGACAAAGGACAAAGGGGAGAGGGGUCGGCAGAGAUCCAGAGAGGGACACAAAGAGAAAAACGGGACAGGGACAGAGGACAAAAACAGAUAAAGGGGCAGAGAAUGUCUGUCGCAACCUGUUAUUCAGGUUACGGAGCUGUGGGCCAAAGGCACAGGAAGAAAGGUCCCACUGCCUUGCACGCUGGCUCCACCCACCCAGGUACACGUAUGGUGGCCCCAGGGCAGUAUGUGGUCACAAGGCUGGAGGGGCAGGAGGGUGGAGGGUGGGAAGGAGGGGAUGGAGUGGAGGGGUGGGUAGGGGGAAGGCGGAGCCCAUUGUCCACCCUCACUGUCUUGAGCCUCUGCCUUUGUCCUGCCUGUCUUUUUGGACCACCCUUUGGAUUUCUGGCUGUGGGUCUGGCCAGGUGCAUAAGUCCCAGACAUGCUUUUCUUUCCCGUGGCAGGCCUUGUCUCCUGCAGGCCCUGUACAGUGCUGAGCACAGAGGGGGUGCUCGAUGAAUAUUUGGGGACUGAAUGAACUGGGUUCUUGCUUAGUCCUGAAGGGUUAGGAUAAUGAAACCACUGUGUAGAGAGGGAAGAGGAAGUUCAGAGAGGGCAAGUGACUUGUCUAAGGCCACACAGCCACUUGCGGGUUUCAUUUCUGAAGGAUUCUCUGAACACUCAGGGAAGGCAGGCUGUGCAUGAGGCAGGGGGUAGGGCUAUGACAAGGCAUGCUCUGGAACAUCCCUGAGCCUUUCUGCUGCUAGUCCCUCUCUGUCUUCUGUCCCUCUUUCUGCCUGGAACACUCCUACUUAUACUUCAGGUCUUAGUAUAGAAGUCACUUCCUCUGGGAGGCCUUUCCUGGCCCUUCAAAUCAUGGUUAAAUGCCCUCCUGUGGUCCUGGAUGAGGGGACACCCAUCAUGGCACCCAGUCUUGUCAAGAGGAGUUGGCCUGUCAGAGCACAGUGAUUUCCUUGCAGUUGGUUCAGAAUGACCCAAUCAAGGCCAGUCGGAGAUUUUCCUGGGACAGAUUUUGGAAACUGAGGAGAGAGAAGCUAUUUUGUCCCUGAUGGCUCUAAGCUGGGCAUCUGUGAGUCUGGGGUUGCUGGAGCCCCUUUCUCAGCUACUCUAACACAUCACCCCCUGCUGUGGGCAAGUCCUGCCAGAAGAUGCAAAUACAGGGCUGAACCUGGGGCUGUGCUUGGGGCUUUGGUCUUGAGAGAAUCAGGGAGGAAAAAGCCUGUGAUAUCAGGAAAGAGGAUGGACUUUGGGUCCGUCAGACAGACCUGGGUUAGUCACUCAGUACCUGUGUGUUUUGGGGCACACCUCUCUGGGCCCUGGCUUCCUCUUACGUAAAUGAGGGUGAUGCCACCUACCUGUCGUGAAAGAGGUGUCAGGAAGGGAGGCAGCCUGUCUAUGAGGGCUUUGCUGGCCUGAUAAUAUGCACCCCACCUCUCCUCCCUGUUGGCAUGCCCCACUCACCCUGCUGCUUCCUGU